rnacentral:lncRNA from 1 species
CCGUUCAGUAAGUCGAGUACACACUUUGCGAAUUACAAGAUGAAGUUGGCGUUUCUGUUUGUACUUUUAUUGAGCGUCCUUCAAUACGCUCACGCAGCAAUUUGUGCAAAAGAUUUGAGAAGCGGUGGCCCUCAAAACUUUAAUAGUGUUGCUCAAAUGAAUGCGGAAAACAGAAAAGGCGGACGAUACCAAUUCCAACACAAUGGGUAUUGUUAAGUAACAAGCGCGUCAAGAGAAUUUUGUCCGCAAGGACAAAACGAUACCAAAAGUUUAUCGAUGUAACUGCAUAUUUGUAUCAAUAAACGG